rnacentral:rRNA from 1 species
UGGGGAAUAUUGCACAAUGGGCGCAAGCCUGAUGCAGCAACGCCGCGUGAACGAUGAAGGUCUUCGGAUCGUAAAGUUCUGUUGCAGGGGAAGAUAAUGACGGUACCCUGUGAGGAAGCCCCGGCUAACUACGUGCCAGCAGCCGCGGUAAUACGUAGGGGGCUAGCGUUAUCCGGAUUUACUGGGCGUAAAGGGUGCGUAGGUGGUCUUUCAAGUCGGUGGUUAAAGGCUACGGCUCAACCGUAGUUAGCCUCCGAAACUGGAAGACUUGAGUGCAGGAGAGGAGAGUGGAAUUCCCAGUGUAGCGGUGAAAUGCGUAGAUAUUGGGAGGAACACCAGUAGCGAAGGCGGCUUUCUGGACUGCAACUGACACUGAGGCACGAAAGCGUGGGUAGCAAACAGG